GGGGCUGAAUUUUAAGCUCGACAUUGGACUUUAACAGCUAGUUUGCAGAUCGCUUGUCAGCGUUAUAGGCACAUCUGAAUAGAUGCAAAAGAUUCACUUACUGCAAUGGUUGAUCGCGUACUAAACACACGUGCAUUAGCUUUUGCGCCAGUAGCAGCUUAAUUGUAGCUACGACCAUGAUUCAGACAUCAGAUAUGAUGAAAUGGUCUUAUAUUUAUCUGAUUGCUGGGGUUUUGUAAUUCGCAAGAUUCACUAAGAUUUAGAAUUGCAGAGAAUAAUGUUUUUGUUUGUUUUUAUCAUUAUUUUCUAAAGAAGCAACUUCAAACAAACUAAGCUUGUAGACGGCCAACGAGUAACCGAAUGGACGCGGGAUCAUACCCGCCAGCUCCACCA
rnacentral:tmRNA from 1 species